rnacentral:rRNA from 1 species
AUCGAUAUGAAUUUAAUUUUGGUUCUGAUUGAACGUUUUUCAGUAGUUUUAAGACAUGCAAAUCGUUGUUCCUAACAGUUUAUCUGUAUGUUUUAUACCCCCCUCCUCCUACGGAUUCAUAAAAGGAAGGGCUCCGUCCUCCUAGGACUCCGUAGGAUUAAUAAAAGGAGGUUACUGCCCCUCCUACUAUUGUAGGAGCCUCUCCGUAGGAAGAAGGGCCAUUUGGUCCUUAGGAGGGGAGGGGCCCUAAGGGCUCCUAAAUAAUAAAAUAAAAUAAAAAAUAAAGGAGUGCCCGGGUUACAAAAUAAAGAUAAAAAAAUAAGAAUAAGGUGUAAAGGUGAGUAUUUUAAAUUAGAUACCUUAUAGACUCCUUAAUUGGGAGAUAAUUUUAUUUCAAAAAUCCUCCCCUACGGAGAAGUAGGAGUAGGAGUCAUCCUUCUACUUAUGAAUGGUUACUCCAAAGGCAACUCUGCAGGACUACGUAGAGAAGGAUUAGAGAUACUUAUUAGGGGAAAAGCACAGCAUAGUCAGUCAGUAGGCCACACCUGCGAGUCUAGUCUAGUCUGUUAUCAAUACUGGAUUAAUAACCCCGCUUGAUUCUCCCCCCACAUUGCCCUUGGCCUGAGCCGGCCAAGGGGAGGGCGGGGGGGUAGAGGAUAGGAGUAGGAGUAUGAUUACUCCCUCCCCUCCAAGGGUCCUAGCCGGAAUUAAUCCAAGGGUAAUAAGGGUUAGUCCCUACCUAAGGAGAGUAGCGUCUUUUACCCCGAAGGGGGAAUCGCUACAUAUGAAUUCCUUGUAAUUUCAUCCUAAUAAGGAAAGUAAAAUAUAAAUUAGCUAUUUAUAAAAAAAGGGAAAUUUUCUGCUAUAAGAUUCGAUUUAAUUUGUUUAAAGGUAGUUGGUAGGGUAAAUGCCUACCAAGCCUAUGAUCAAUAGCCAUGUUUGAAAGAGCAGAUGGCCACAUUGGGAAUGGAAAGCCCCAAGUAGUGAAAACUACCAGCAGUCAAGAAUAUUAGUCAAUGCUCGCAAGAGUGAACUAGCUAACUGAAAUCACAUGAUCCAUGCUUUAUGUUGGUUAUUGUGAUAACGUAAGGGAAAAAAAUGAUAUUACCUUACUAUUAGUGUUGUCCAAAACUGGUGCCAGAAGACUCGGUAAGGCCAGAGACGCGAACGUUAGUCGUCCUAAUCAGGCGUAAAGGGUGUGUAGGCUGCUUUCAAAAUCAUAUCUUUCAAAUAGCUCUUAUAACGAAGAUCUGUUUAAAGGCGAUAUACUUUAAAUAUCUUCAUUCUAAGGUAAAGAUAGGAUGAAUAAAAGCUAGAAUCAAAACGAGGAUAAGCCAAAUAAUACUUAGAGUAGGGAUGAUAUCCGUAGAUACUAAGUGGAAUACUAAAAGUGAAAACUAUUUAUCUAGAAAUGAUUGACGCUGAGAAACGAAGGUGAGAAUAGGAAAUAGGAUUAGAUACCCAGAUACCUCUCACUGUCAACGAUGAAUGGUGGUUUGUUAGUUUAUAGAAGAACUAGUAACGAUGCUAACGCGAUAACCAUUCCGCCUUGCGAGUACGGUUGCAAAACUGAAACCAAAAAAAUUAGUCGGUCUCGAAGCAAACGAAGUGAAGCAUGUUGUUUAAUAUGAUAAUACGCGUAAAACCUUACCAGUUCUUGCAUAUCCAGUCCUUAAUCUUAAGUGGUUCUAAAUGUCAAUUUAGUCCUAUUUAAGGUUAAAGAUUGAGUAGUUUCUUUACCUCAAGAAACUCGUUUACAGGUGUUGCAUGGCUGUCGUAAGUCCGUGCCGUGAGAAGUGAGGUUAACUCCACUAACGGACGAAAUCCCUGUUGUUAAUUUAUACUUAACAAUUAAUGAAUUUGACAAUUUUUCAUUUGGGGCUAAGACAAGCCGUUAUGGCCCUCAUGAACUGGGCUAUAGACGUGCCACGAGAACUUUUACAAAGUGACGCCAAAACCUAACCUCUAUACUAAUGCAAUAUUUUAGUUAAUAUUUAAAAUAGUCUUAGCACUCCGUAGGAGGGCACUGGCUAUACUUUUUUUAAAUAAUAAGGUUUUAAGGAAUAGCUAAUCAUUAAAGAAAGUUAAAUAACCAAAUAUAUGGACGGAUUGCCGCCUGAAAUUCGGCGUCAUGAAGAAGGAAUUUCGAGUAAUCGUUGAUCACUAGCGCAACGGUGAAGAAUGCAUUCGGGAUGAACUAACUGUCUGUCGCUGGGAAGAAGCUUGAAUUGGGGGAAACUGCCGCGAAGUUAUUAUUUUUUUAAGGCAAACCUAAUUUAAUAAUAUCAGCAAUUAUUUAUUAUUAACCCUUGGCCCGACCCCCUCUCCCCCCUACCCUUUGCAACUGUGGCUCCUAGGAUCCAUAAGACGGCAUAGGAUUAAUACUACGUACUCCUUCGGAGUACUACGUACAGGGGGAAGAAGGGGCCCCACCUUUGGCUGACCUCCUUCUCCAAUUGGUACUACUAAUUAGAGGAGGGCAAAGGCCCUACAAAAAAAAGGAGGGGGGGGCCGCCCCUGGAAAAAAAGGGGAAAAAAAAAGGGGUGAGCGUAAAUUAAUCUUUUUUUUAAAUUAAGGUAGUUUUUCCUUCGGCAGCUAAGCUUUAAUUUUAGAAGUAAUUCUAAUUUAAAGUAUUAGCCCUCCUCCCGUAAGGGUCCUAGGGUCCGUACGGGGGGCCCCUCUAAUUACUACUACUACGUACUACUAAUUACUACUAAUUACUACUACUACUCCGAAGGACUACUACUCCUUCGGACUACGUACUACUACUACGUAGAGCAGGGGGACCUACUGAUUAAUCAGGGCCACCUACUUAUGAUUCCUCCUUUGUCUUCGAAGCCUUCCUCUCCCCCCCCCCUCUACUAGUCGUAGGGCUUUUGUCCUCCUAGGAGCCAAAGGCGGGGUAGGAGGAGGUCCUUCCCUCCUACCCUUUGCCCCUGCAAAGGCAGGGGGGAGGCGAGACUACGUAGAAGAACAAAAGGAGUCCUUCCUUCCUUUCCUACGGAUUCAGAAAGGAUUUAUAAAGGAUUCAUUCCUUAGGUCAGGAGAAGGUCAUUUAAAUAUAAAAAAACACCUUUCUUAAGAUAAUUAGUUUCAGUUAACCCUUUUAAGUAACAUCUCAAAAGUCAUAGCAGGGUAGCUGUACUGGAAAGUGCCGCUGGAAAAUAAAUAA